GUACUCACUUUGGCAGCACAUAUACUAAAAUUGGAACGAUACAGAGAUUAGCAUGGCCCCUGCACAAGGAUGACAUGCAAAUUCGUGAAACAACCAAAUUUUAU
ensembl:snRNA U6 U6 spliceosomal RNA